AGUUUAGCUACACAGAUGGACAAAUGAAUGACUUAAGGGAAAAACGAGAUGUUCCAGUGAACACAAGCAGUCUACAAUACCUUAUAAUCAUAGAGGUGUCAGUGUCAGAAACAUCAUCAGGGGGCUUUUUGACACCUUACCAAGUUGACAACACCACAGAAAUCAGUACGCCAAACAUUACAACAGUAUGCAGUUGGACCGAUGCUAGAUAUAAUUGCUUGUGUGUGGAUCAGUAUUUCUGGCCCCGUCAAACGUGCACA